CCCUUCUCUUUUUUCCCAACAGCUGCAUGGCCUUUCCUGGCUCCAUGGCCCUGAUUCAGCCAGAUUCGAGGCUCUCAGGGUGCAGAUGACACCCGGACUCCAUGUUGCCUUAAAGCAGUCCACACUGCCCAGGUCUCCAGAGAAAACCGCAAAGAUCUGUAACUCCGACUAUGUCUUGGGGAAGUGGAGAAAUAAUGAGAUUGCUGCAGUGGCAUCCAGGACUGUCAGUGGAAGUGGGGAAUGACAUGACACCACCUUUCGGACACCCAACUGGCAAGAGGUAAAAGAGGAAGGGACAGUCAGCCCACUGUAUACAAUGACAUGCAAGACCUAACUCUCACGUUGGUUCAACCCAAACCAGCGAGAAGCAAUCUAUGGUCAUACUGAGUCUUGGGCCCAGUCUAAACGGUGGAGCU
rnacentral:lncRNA from 1 species